GAUGAACGCUGGCGGCGUGCCUAAUACAUGCAAGUCGAGCGAACAGACGAGGAGCUUGCUCCUUUGACGUUAGCGGCGGACGGGUGAGUAACACGUGGGUAACCUACCUAUAAGACCGGGAUAACUUCGGGAAACCGGAGCUAAUACCGGAUAAUAUUUCGAACCGCAUGGUUCGAUAGUGAAAGAUGGCUUUGCUAUCACUUAUAGAUGGACCUGCGCCGUAUUAGCUAGUUGGUAAGGUAACGGCUUACCAAGGCAACGAUACGUAGCCGACCUGAGAGGGUGAUCGGCCACACUGGAACUGAGACACGGUCCAGACUCCUACGGGAGGCAGCAGUAGGGAAUCUUCCGCAAUGGGCGAAAGCCUGACGGAGCAACGCCGCGUGAGUGAUGAAGGUCUUCGGAUCGUAAAACUCUGUUAUUAGGGAAGAACAAACGUGUAAGUAACUGUGCACGUCUUGACGGUACCUAAUCAGAAAGCCACGGCUAACUACGUG
rnacentral:rRNA from 1 species